UACGAAGGGGCUAGCGUUGCUCGGAAUCACUGGGCGUAAAGCGCACGUAGGCGGAUUGUUAAGUCAGGGGUGAAAUCCUGGAGCUCAACUCCAGAACUGCCUUGAUACUGGCGAUCUCGAGUCCGGGAGAGGUGAGUGGAACUGCGAGUGUAGAGGUGAAAUUCGUAGAUAUUCGCAAGAACACCAGUGGCGAAGGCGGCUACUGGCCCGGUACUGACGCUGAGGUGCGAAGC
rnacentral:rRNA from 1 species